UAAUACGUAGGUGGCAAGCGUUACUCGGAAUCACUAGGCGUAAAGCGCAGGUAGGCGGUUUGAUAAGUCUUUUGUGAAAGCUCCCGGCUCAACUGGGAGAGGCCAAAGGAAACUGUCAGGCUAGAGUGUGGCAGAGGAAACUAGAAUUCCCGGUGUAGCGGUGAAAUGCGUAGAUAUCGGGAGGAAUACCUAUGGCGAAAGCAGGUUUCUGGGCUAUCACUGACGCUGAUCUGCGAAAGCUAGGGGAGCAAACAGGAUUAGAUACCCUGGUAGUCCUAGCCCUAAACGAUGCUCAUUAGGUGUGGAAGGUAUCGACCCCUCCCGCGCCGAAGCUAACGCAUUAAAUGAGCCGCCUGGGGAGUACGGCCGCAAGGUUG
rnacentral:rRNA from 1 species